rnacentral:rRNA from 1 species
GAUGAACGCUGACGGAAUGCUUAACACAUGCAAGUCAACUUGAAUUUGGGUUUUUAACUUCGGUUUGGGUGGCGGACGGGUGAGUAACGCGUAAAGAACUUGCCUCACAGCUAGGGACAACAUUUGGAAACGAAUGCUAAUACCUAAUAUUAUGAUAAUAGGGCAUCCUAUAAUUAUGAAAGCUAUAAGCGCUGUGAGAGAGCUUUGCGUCCCAUUAGCUAGUUGGAGAGGUAACGGCUCACCAAGGCGAUGAUGGGUAGCCGGCCUGAGAGGGUGAUCGGCCACAAGGGGACUGAGACACGGCCCUUACUCCUACGGGAGGCAGCAGUGGGGAAUAUUGGACAAUGGACCGAGAGUCUGAUCCAGCAAUUCUGUGUGCACGAUGAAGUUUUUCGGAAUGUAAAGUGCUUUCAGUUGGGAAGAAACAAAUGACGGUACCAACAGAAGAAGUGACGGCUAAAUACGUG